GUUUUGUGGUUAUACCCACUUAACAACCUUAAAAGCACAUUACAUAACUUCAUAAUGUUAUCCCUCAGGCAUAAUUCAGAAUAUUUGGUGAUUUAAAAACCCAUCAGUUGUUCAAAGAUAAAAUACUAUGACCGUGUGUAUUGCCUAGAAUCCUUUUAGGCUUUUGAGCCACAUUGCCAUUAUUUUAUGCAAUAUAAGGUGUAGAUACCCAAGCAUUUCCUGACUUAUAUAUGCCUCGUAUAGCCUGGAUUCAAAUGUUUAAGUCGCCAUUCUCAUUACAGGUUGAUUUUAAAUCUUGAUCCAUUACCAACUAACUUUGAAGAGGAUACAGUAGAACUAUUUGGCAUCCAGUGGGUUACCGAAACAGCAUUAGCAACUUCAUGUCGAGAGCUCUUUCAUUUAUUCAGGCAACAGCUAUUCAACUUGGAAUCCUUAGUUCAAGUCAACUGUGAUUUUGGGAAGAUAGCCACCUUACAUUAAAAAGCAGACAGU